AUUAGUUGAAUCACUCAAAGAUGAAGAUCUUGAAGAUAUCAGAGAAGUAUAUUUACCAUUUUGAUCAUUAAUAUUCUGUGUUUGUUCUUUAGUUAUAUAUGUCACUUUAGGAAAGAGCGUCAGAUUUUCCUUCAAUGGUUUUGUUCCAGCAUUAAGACAAGAGGGAUGGACUUCUGGUACGCUUCGUCUACAUGUGCCCUGAGGAGUUUCUGCACCAAGAUUAGGAGGAGAGUUAGCUGGCAGGGGCAAGCCUUGAUGCCUUUGGUCUUUAUUAGCAGGAGUACAACCCAGCAAUGCUUCACCAAACACUGUUGGCACUGAGUGCACAUGUCCCUGACUCUGAGAAACCUCAGGAGAAGACUUCGUGUGUUUGGCAUCAACACUUCCACUAUUUUCUGAUGGUUUCCUUUUCACGCCCCCAAUUCUUUUGGAUUUAUCACAUUUGCCGUUAUUAUCAUAUAUUAUUUCCACGUGAAUUAACUCUGGAUCAAGAGUUUUUAAAGCUGGAAUCUCCUGACAGUUGACUUCUAGAGUUCUUGUAGCAGGGUUGCCAUUUACAACAACUGCUGUGAACCACUGGGUAGAUGGAUCCAGGCUAUAAAUUCUAAUUUUUGAACCAAUUAUAUUUUUU
rnacentral:lncRNA from 1 species